rnacentral:rRNA from 1 species
UACGUAGGGGGCAAGCGUUAUCCGGAUUUACUGGGUGUAAAGGGAGCGUAGACGGCUUUGCAAGCCAGAUGUGAAAGCCCGGGGCUCAACCCCGGGACUGCAUUUGGAACUGUAUGGCUGGAGUGUCGGAGAGGCAGGCGGAAUUCCUAGUGUAGCGGCGAAAUGCGUAGAUAUUAGGAGGAACACCAGUGGCGAAGGCGGCCUGCUGGGCGAUGACUGACGUUGAGGCUCGAAAGCGUGGGGAGCAAACAGG